AGCGAACGCUGGCGGCAUGCUUAACACAUGCAAGUCGAACGAAGGCCCGGGGCUUGCCCCGGUUACCUUAGUGGCGAACGGGUGAGUAACGCGUGGGAAUCUGCCCUACGGUGGGGAAUAACAGCUGGAAACGGCUGCUAAUACCGCAUACGCUCUACGGAGGAAAGGCUUCGGCCGCCGUUGGAGGGUCCCGCGUCCGAUUAGCUUGUUGGUGAGGUAAUGGCUCACCAAGGCCGCGAUCGGUAGCUGGUCUGAGAGGACGAUCAGCCACACUGGGACUGUGACACGGCCCAGACUCCUACGGGAGGCAGCAGUGGGGAAUAUUGGACAAUGGGGGAAACCCUGAUCCAGCAAUGCCGCGUGAGUGAAGAAGGCCUUAGGGUUGUAAAACUCUUUCACCCGUGAAGAUGUUGACGGUAGCGGGAGAAGAAGCUCCGGCUAACUCCGUGCCAGCAGCCGCGGUAAUACGGAGGGGGCAAGCGUUGCUCGGAAUUACUGGGCGUAAAGCGCGCGUAGGCGGUGCACAUAGUCAGGCGUGAAAGCCCCGGGCUUAACCCGGGAACUGCGUUUGAUACUGGUGUGCUAGAAUCCGAAAGAGGGCAGUGGAAUUCCCAGUGUAGAGGUGAAAUUCGUAGAUAUUGGGAAGAACACCAGAGGCGAAGGCGGCUGCCUGGUUCGGUAUUGACGCUGAGGUGCGAAAGCGUGGGGAGCGAACAGGAUUAGAUACCCUGGUAGUCCACGCCGUAAACGAUGAGUGCUAGUUGUUGGGCAGCAUGCUGCUCGGUGACGCCGCUAACGCUUUAAGCACUCCGCCUGGGGA
rnacentral:rRNA from 1 species